UACGUAGGGGGGCGAGCGUUGUCCGGAUUUAUUGGGCGUAAAGAGCUCGUAGGCGGCUCGGCACGUCCGUUGUGAAAUCGCCCGGCUCAACUGGGCGGGGUCAGCGGAUACGGUCGAGCUUGAGCAAGCUAGGGGGUAAUGAAAUUCCCGGUGUAGUGGUGGAAUGCGUAGAUAUCGGGAGGAACACCAGUGGCGAAGGCGGUUACCUGGGGCUUUGCUGACGCUGAUGCGCGAAAGCGUGGGGAGCGAUCCGG
rnacentral:rRNA from 1 species